UACGUAGGGUGCGAGCGUUUAAUCGGAAUUACUGGGCGUAAAGCGUGCGCAGGCGGCGCGUUUAAGACAGGUGUGAAAGCCCCGAGCUUAACUUGGGAAUUGCGCUUGUGACUGGCGAGCUGGAGUGUGGCAGAGGGGAGGUGGAAUUCCACGUGUAGCAGUGAAAAUGCGUAGAGAUGUGGAGGAACACCGAUGGCGAAGGCAGCCUCCUGGGCCAGCACUGACGCUCAUGCACGAAAGCGUGGGGAGCAAACAGG
rnacentral:rRNA from 1 species